GCGUCCUUGGUGUAGUGGUAACGCACAAUCUACUUCUGCACCACACAACGGAUAGUUUAGGAUUGGGUCUGGGGUUCGACUCCCUGAGGGCGCA